ACUUUUAACAACAGAUCUCUUAGUUCUAGCAUUAAUAAAGAACGUAGCAAAAUGUGAUAAGUAGUGUAAAUUACAGAAUUUAGUGAAUUAUUAAAUCUUUAAACGCACAUUGCGCCCCUUAGUAUUCUAUAGGGCAUGCCUAUUUAAGCGUUAUUUAUACCCUUAAGCUUUACUUAGUAUUAGGUGAAUGUUCUCUAUGCUUGCGUAGACUAGACUUGCCUAAAAAUAAUUAGUAGCUAGCAUAUUAGCCUAGAGCGCAGCAUAUUUUACGCCUCUUGCUAUAAUUAUUAGCAUCUAUUAAGAUAUUUUAUUAACUCUUAACCUUAGAUUAGGUAGGGAUACCUGCUAAACUUAAGCAUAUUAAUAAGUGGAGGAAAAGAAACUAAUAGGGAUUGCCCUAGUAACAGCGAGUAAAGCGGUAAUAGCUUAAAUUUAAAAUCUAGCUCUUUUAGGGUCUAAGUUGUAAUUUGCAGAGGGCGCUUUAGCGUUAGUAGCGGUCUAAGUUCCUUGGAACAGGACGUUAUAGAGGGUAAGAAUCCUAUAUAUAGUUGCUAGUCUUCGCUAUAUAAAGCCCCUUUAAUAAGUUAAGUUAUUUAGGAAUACAGCUCUAAAUAGGAGGUAAAUUUCUUCUAAAGCUAAAUACUAGCUAGAGACUAAUAGCGUAUAAGUAGAGUGAUUAAAAGAUAAAAAGCACUUUAGAAAGAGAGUUAAAUAGCACGUGAAAUUGUUAAAAGGGAAGCGCUUACAGCUAGACUUACCUAUAGUUACUUAUCUAGGCUUUUACCUAGUGCACUCUUCUAUAGGCAGGCUAGUAUUAGUUUAGGUAGUUAGAUAAAGGUCUCUAUUACGUACCUCUCUUUAGGGAGGCCUUAUAGGGGAGACGAUAUGUAACUAGCCUAGACUAAGGUCUGCGUAUUUACUAGGAUGCUAGCGUAAUAGCUGUAAGCGGCCCGUCUUAAAACAUAGACUAAGGAGUCUAACAUCUAUAUAAGUGUUUAGGUGUUAAGCCUAAACGCGUAAUAAAAGUAAAUAGAGGUAGGAACCCUUUAGGGCGCACUAUUAACUAAUCCUAAUAUCUUUAGAAGGAUUUAAGUAAGAGCAUAGCUAUUAGGACUUAAAAGAUGGUAAACUAUACUUAAAUAGGGUAAAGCUAGAGGAAACUCUAGUAGAGGCUUGCAGCAGUUCUAACGUGCAAAUUAAUUAUUAAAUUUAGGUAUAGGGGCGAAAGACUAAUUAAACUAUCUAGUAGCUAGUUUCUGCUGAAGUUUCCCUUAGGAUAGCAGUAACGUAUUUAGUUUUAUAAGGUAAAGCGAAUAAUUAGAGGCCUAGGGGUUAAAAUAACCUUUACCUAUUCUUAAACUUUAAAUAUAUAAGAAGUCCUUGUUACUUAAUUAAACGUAGACACUUAAAUGUACUGUUACUAGUAGGCUAUUUUUAGUAAGCAGAACUAGCAAUAUAGGAUAAACUAAACGCGGGGUUAAGGUGCUAGAAUGUACGCUUAUUAGACACUAUAAAAGGUGUUAGUUUAUCUAGAUAGCAGGACGGUAGCUAUAGAAGUUAGAAUCCGCUAAGGAGUGUGUAACAACUUACCUACUAAAUAAACUAGCCCUAAAAAUAGAUGGCGCUUAAGCGUGUUACCUAUACCCCGCCGCUAGGGCAAGAUUUAAGCCCUAGCGAGUAGGUAGGCGUAGAGGCUUGUAACGAAGCCUUAGGGGUAACCUUAGGUAGAACGGCCUCUAGUAUAGAUCUUAGUAGUAGUAGCAAAUACUUAAAUAAGAACUUUAAGGACUAAAGUAGGGAAAGGUUCUGUGUAAACAGUAGUUAGACACGGGUUAGUUAAUCCUAAGAGAUAGGGUAAUUCUGUUUUAAUAUUAGCGCUUACGCUACGCCCUUAAAAGGGAAGCUAGUUAAUAUUCUAGCACCUAGAUAUAGAUUCUCUAUAGUAACGUAACUAAGAGCGGAGACCUUAGCGGGAGCCCUAAGAAGAGUUCUCUUUUCUUCUUAAUAGUCUAUUACCCUAAAAUUAGUUUGUCUAGAGCUAGGGUUUAAUAGCUAGAAGAGUGCUACACUUUUGCGGCGUUUAGUGCGCUCCUAACAAGCCUUAAAAAUCUACUUAAAGAAAUAGUUUUUACGCUAGGUUAUACUUAUAACUAUAGUAGGUCUCUAAGGUAAAAAGCCUCUAGUUAAUAGAAUAAUAUAGAUAAGGGAAGUUAGUAAAAUAGAUCUAUAACUUUAGGAAAAGGAUUAGCUCUAAGGGUUAGGUACGUUAGGCCUUAGGGAAAAGCCUCUAGCGUAGAAGGGCACUAGCUGUAAGGUAGGCGCCUUUUAGCGCUAGGGUGCGGACACCCUUAGCAGGCUUUAGCUGUCUAGCGUACGUUUAACAACUAACUUAGAACUAGUAUAGAUAAGGGGAAUCUAACUAUCUAAUUAAAAUAUAGUAUUGCAAUAGCUAGAAAGUAGUGUUAACGUAAUGUGAUUUCUACCUAGUGCUCUAAAUGUUAAAGCGAAGAGAUUUAACUAAGCGUAGGUAAACGGCGGGAGUAACUAUAACUCUCUUAAGGUAGCUAAAUACCUUAUUAUCUAAUUAGUAACGCGUAUAAAUAGAUUAACAAGAUUCCUACUAUCCCUAUCUACUAUCUAGCGAAACUAUAGCUAAGAGAACGGGCUUAGCUAAAUUAGCAGGGAAAGAAGACCCUAUUAAGCUUAACUCUAGUUUAAUAUUAUAAAAAGAUAUAGGGGGUGUAGAAUAGGUAGGAGCUUUAGCGCUAGUAAAAUACUACUACCCUUAUCGUUUUUUUACUUAUUUAAUAAAGCGGAGCUAGGCCUUACUACCUAACUUCUAGCGUUUAAGGUCCUUUAUAGGCUGAUCUAGGUUAAAGACAUUGUUAGGUAGGGAGUUUAGCUAGGGCGGCACAUCUAUUAAACUAUAACGUAGGUGUCCUAAGGGGGACUUAUAGAGAAUAGAAAUCUCUAGUAGAGUAAAAGGGUAAAAGUCCCCUUAAUUUUAAUUUUUAGUGUAAAUACAAACUAUAAAAGUGUGGCCUAUUAAUCCUUUAGUCCCUUAAAAUUUAAGGCUAGAGGUGCUAGAAAAGUUACUAUAGGGAUAACUAGCUUGUGGCAGCUAAGCGUUUAUAGCGACGUUGCUUUUUAAUCCUUUAAUGUUAGCUCUUCCUAUUAUACCAAAGUAGAAUUUAGUAAGUAUUAGAUUGUUCACCUACUAAUAGGGAACGUAAGCUAGGUUUAGACUAUUAUAAGACAGGUUAGUUUUACCCUACUAAUAACCUUACCCUAAUAGUAAUACCGCUUAGUACGAGAGGAACCGCGGUUUUAGAUAAUUAGUUUUUACAGCUGUCUAACUAGGCAUUGCUGCGAAGCUACUAUCUACUAGAUUAUAGCUAAACGCCUCUAAGUUAGAAUCUAUGCUAGAACGGGGUGAUUUCCGCCUGCACUAGUUAGAUACGAAUAGGCCUUUAGCCUAGAACCUUACUAGAUCGGCGUUAGUAGCCCUAUUAAAGUUAGAGUUGCUAGCUAGUAUAUUAUAAUUAUAUAGUGCGUAGGAUUAAAUCCUUUAUAGAUAACUUAGUUAUCUAGCUAGGUCGUGUAAGUAGUUAAGUAGCCUUGUUGUUACAAGCUACUAAGCGUAAGCCCGCCGCUAGCUUAGUUAAAAUUAGGAUAUUAUACCCUCCUUAUUUUUUAAGUUGCUUCCUUUUACAAGGUAAGUAGUAAUAAGAGGAAGAGGGUAUUUAAAAGAGAAGAUUUUCUAUAACUCGCCUAAGGCUGUCUAGCUAUUAAAGGGUAAUGUACGCUUAAUAGAAUAGCCUUAAGUUUUAGCUAAGGUUCCUUUAAAGUUGCCUUAGCCACCGCUAAAGUCCCUUAACGUUGCCUCCUUAACUCCCUUAAGUUGUCUAGUAAUUCUCUUAAGUUUACUAGCUAUCCCCUACGUUUAGCUAUCCCCUACAUUCCCUAGGUAUUGCUUAAGUAUAGUACUUAAUUAUUAUAAGGAAUCUACUAAGAAUGCGUUCUAUAACUUUGGCGUGUUCUAUAACUUUGGCGCGUUCUAUAACUUUGGCGCGUUCUAUAACUUUGGCGCGUUCUAUAACUUUGGCGCGUUCUAUAACUUUGGCGCGUUCUAUAACUUUAGGUGUAAAAUCAUAACAUUAUUAUUUACGACCUAGGCUUAGGCCCUAAAAAUCUAAGAAAAAUUAGAGGCCUAUAGUACUAUUUAGGGCAUCUAGCUAGCAUUUUUCUAGAAUUUUAGGUCUUAAUUUAGUAGCGUAAAAAAGAAAAGUUAGUGCACGUUCUAUAACUUUUGCACGUUCUAUAACUUUUGUACGUUCUAUAACUUUUGUACGUUCUAUAACUUUUAGUGUAAAAUUACCCUAUAGUUUUUUCUAACCUACACUUAAGGCCUAUACCUACUAAACUUUCCUUUAAGUAAUAGUAUAUUAUAUAAAGUACUUAUACUAAACCUAGUAGGGCUUAGGGUAUAAGGUAGUAGUGUAUAUAUUAAAAGUAGUAUAUUAGUAUAUAUAUUCUAACUUUACCCCCUUUAUAUUUUCUCUAUUUAUAAUUACUUUUAUAUAUAUUUACCUGUAUUAUACUAUAUCUUAUCCUAGUUAAAAUUACUCUUAGCUUUAGUAUUUUACGUACUAUUUGUAACGAAGGUUCGUUACAUCCUAAGCUAUUUAGAGCUAGAGUCACGUCCUCACUAACUUAGCUCCGAUCUGUAUCUAAUACCCCUCUACCUCCACAUAUAAAAGGAGCCUUAUGCUCUUAGAUAGAUAGACAAGUUCUUCUUGUCCUUUCGUACAAGACCUAUAGGUGUAGGAAUCAAUUCGUUUAACCUUCAAUACAGGCGCGCACUCCUAUAUGCCUUUAAGCCGUAUUGGAACCCUUUUAGAUCCUCCUACUUACCUGCGUUGUUACAUUACAAGAAGAACUUCGUCCCUGCUAGUAACGGCUUCUUAAGAAUAUUGUAUUGUUGUAUUGUAUUUAUAUCACAACCAAUUCACUUUAGGUUGUAAUCCAAUCGUAUAUCCACAGUUGGAACUCCAUUAGAACUUCUAACGACCAAAGCCUAUAGGUUUGGAACUUCCACACGACUAGGUUGUGAUUUGGAUUGCCUUUAGAAAAGUCGCGUUAGAUUGCGCUAGGGUAGAAACUUGGAGACUACUAAUAACCUAGGAGAAUCAGAGGCAAAGCUAAUAUCUUUAUCCAAAACCCCCCCGGUUAGGAGCGUAACCACCCGCUUAACUGCCAAAGCAACGGUCUCGAAGGACUAGACAAAAGCUCCCUCUCCUAAACUUGUUAAAGAAUUAGAAGAGGAGGAAGCAUUUAACCUAGUAGGAGAUUAGAGCGAAACUGGAGCCGCCCUAGAUAUAAGAACGCUUAUGCAAGAAAUAUUGUUUCUGCGUAAACAGCUUACACAGGUACAAGCAGGCUUAGUAGCCCCUAAUUAGCCCCUACCAUCCACUAAAAAGACGCCGAUCGGACCUUUUAGAGAGCCCUUGGUUACUCCCUUCCUAUACGCCUAACUAGCUAGACGAUUAGAAAGGACCCCUAAUAUUAAGGUUCUGUCUAAUGGGGUUGAUCCUACCUUUAAACAAUGGCAAGCUUCUAUUCAGGAUCGACUUAAAAUUAACUUGGAUUAUUAUUAGAAUAAACGAGCUCGCAUGGCUUUGGUAUAGGGACACAGCACUAGUUUAGCAAAGGAAUACUUAGAACCCUAAUACCUAUCCAACAACCUUACGGAUCGAUUCGCUGACGCUAAGGAAAUGAUUAACCUUCUUAAAUCCUAUUUCAUUACUAGAAAUGAGAAGGUAGAAAGUAGAGCAGUGUUCAAUUAAUUGCAGAUAGAUAGGAACGAAACCUUCCCAGCCUUUAAAGCUCGGUUCUUAAGCUCGGCUGUGAAGGGACAAGUACCCUGUUCGGAGUGGUUUCACUACCUCUAGUUAAAAGUAACGCCCGCUAUUCAAGUUCCUAACUUAGGUUUUAGACACCUCUAGGGGAACUCAUUUAAAAGGAUGGUUAAGCACCUUACUGCCUUUAAUAUAGAGCGGAGAAACUAUCUAAAUUAGUCUAGUGCACCUACUAAGGGACUAACCAGUAACCAUAGAAAAGGCCCAAACCCUACGGCACAACACUAAUCAGAACUAAAUUGGAAAACAUACAGUGUAGCAAACACCUCAACACGACCCUAUGCGUCUUAAGGCCACUAACGUAGCACUACUCCGCAACCCCACUAACAGCCUUCCUUAACCCCUGCUCCUAACAGAUCUAAGACCCUAAGUAGUUGCUACAAUUACGGUGAAGUAGGACACUUCGCUAAUAACUACCCUAAGCCAAGGAUCCGUGCUAUAGAAUUGGUUGAAGAUGUAGAGGAGUACCAAGACGCGUCGGAGACUUUCGAUUCGGAACCGUAUCGGACGGGAAAAGACCCCGCCUAGGAGGACUCUCCUUCCCAGGCUUAACCCGUUACGAUCUUUCUAACCUUUCCUUAUCCAAAUUGUUUACAGGUUCUUAUUUCCUUACACGUACUACCCUGUGCCGUAACGGCUCUAGGGUUCAAUUGAACUCCUUAGUCGAUACUGGUGCACAGGGCUUUCUUUUCUUAAAUUCUAAAAUUACUUAUUCUAUUUCUUCUUCCCUUUAGGUACCUAUCUAAAAGUUACCCUACAAGCUUACUGUCAAAGGAUUUCAAGAUUAAAUUACUUCCCCUACAGCAUAUUACAUUCGCCUCUACAUGAUAGUUAGCGGACGUAAGGUCUAUAACUAUCCUUUUAUUAUCAUGGACCUAGGAUCCUAGGAUUGUAUUAUUAGACUAUAUUAGUUAAAACGUUUCUAGAUCCUAGUUAAUACGGAUUGAUCUUGGUUAGUGUGGCCUGCCAAAUAUCCCCUAACCUAUAAUCCAUUACCUCCCCUGCUUAUAAGGCUAUAUUAACAAGUACCCUCUUCCCUAGU